CCUACGGGGGGCAGCAGUAAGGAAUAUUGGUCAAUGGACGAAAGUCUGAACCAGCCAUGCCGCGUGGAGGAUGAAGGUCCUCUGGAUUGUAAACUUCUUUUAUAUGGGACGAAAAAAGGGUUUUCUAACUCGUCUGACGGUACCAUAUGAAUAAGCACCGGCUAACUCCGUGCCAGCAGCCGCGGUAAUACGGAGGGUGCAAGCGUUAUCCGGAUUUACUGGGUUUAAAGGGAGCGUAGGUGGGCUGGUAAGUCAGAGGUGAAAUCUCCGAGCUUAACUCGGAAACUGCCUUUGAUACUAUCAGUCUUGAAUACCGUGGAGGUCAGCGGAAUAUGUCAUGUAGCGGUGAAAUGCUUAGAUAUGACAUAGAACACCGAUUGCGAAGGCAGCUGGCUACACGAAUAUUGACACUGAGGCUCGAAAGCGUGGGGAUCAAACAGGAUUAGAUACCCGGGUAGUC
rnacentral:rRNA from 1 species